rnacentral:rRNA from 1 species
CAGUCGUACUGAUGGGAAAUCAACUUCUCGAGUGCUUGUCGUGGAUGACGUUGAGCUUCACGGCCUUCGUUGCUUACGUUAUGGUGCUUUUGAGGUGUACUUUUCCGUAUGGUAGGUCAACAUCGAUUUUGAUCGUCAUAAAAUGAUCGGAGGAAUGUGGCUCUGAUCUCGUAUCGGAGUGUUAUAGCCUUUGGUAGAUGUGACGAUUGGGAUCGAGGAUUGCAACGAAUACCCUUUUGGGCUAUCCGUCUGACCUCUG